GGCUGCCUGAAGCUAGUGAGUCGCGGCGCCGCGCACUUGUGGUUGGGUCAGUGCCGCGCGCCGCUCGGUCGUUACCGCGAGGCGCUGGUGGCCUUCAGGCUGGACGGCGCGGGUCAGCCCUGGUUUGCCGGCUUCUGGGUCUUUGAACAGCCGCGAUGUCGAUCUUCACCCCCACCAACCAGAUCCGCCUAACCAAUGUGGCCGUGGUACGGAUGAAGCGCGCCAGGAAGCGCUUCGAAAUCGCCUGCUACAAAAACAAGGUCGUCGGCUGGCGGAGCGGCUUGUGAGUAGCCCCCUCCCUCGGGCCUGGGCCUGGGCCUGAGCCGUCACCUCCGAGGCGGCCUGUCUCUGCCCAAGUCGAGUGAAUGGGCCAGGCUGGGGUGUUUGUUGGCCCGGGAGGAAAUGGAACAUUCCUGCUGUGAGCAUGAGACGUCGCUGUCCGAGCUUGGCGCCUAAGCCAAGGGUUUCUUUAUUUGGGAAAAAGACCUUGAUGAAGUUCUGCAGACCCACUCAGUGUUUGUAAAUGUUUCCUAAGGUCAGGUUGCCAAGAAGGAAGAUCUCAUCAGUGCGUUUGGAACAGAUGACCAAACUGAAAUCUAUUUUGACUAAAGGAGAAGUUCAAGUAUCAGAUAAAGACACACACAACUGGAGCAGAUGUUUAGGGACAUUGCAAUUAUUGUGGCAGACAAAUGUGUGACUCCUGAAACAAAGAGACCAUACACCGUGAUCCUUAUUGAGAGAGCCAUGAAGGACAUCCACUAUUUGGUGAAAACCAACAGGAGUACAAAACAGCAGGCUUUGGAAGUGAUAAAGCAGUUAAAAGAGAAAAUGAAGAUAGAACGUGCUCACAUGAGGCUUCAGUUCAUCCUUCCAGUGAAUGAAGGCAAGAAGCUGAAAGAAAAGCUCAAGCCACUGAUCAAGGUCAUAGAAAGUAAAGAUUAUGGCCAACAGUUAGAAAUCGUA
ensembl:lncRNA SBDSP1 SBDS pseudogene 1